GACGUAGGGGACGAGCGUUGUCCGGAUUCAUUGGGCGUAAAGAGCGUGUAGGCGGUCAGGUAGGUCCGUUGUGAAAACUCGAGGCUCAACCUCGAGACGCCGAUGGAAACCAUCUGACUAGAGUCCGGAAGAGGAGAGUGGAAUUCCUGGUGUAGCGGUGAAAUGCGUAGAGAUCGGGAAGAAGGCCGGUGGCGAAGGCGGCUCUCUGGAACGUUCCUGACACUGAGGCACGAAAGCGCGGGGAGCAAACAGG
rnacentral:rRNA from 1 species